CACCAUUGAUCUCCACUGAUUUACAAGAAUAAUAAUGUGAAACCAAUGAAAACAUGAUGGCAUGCAGCACAGACGGAAGGCUUAAAAGCUACUGCUACGGAUUGGGAUAAGUGAUCAAGUUUGGCUGGAGCUGUCUUUAACCUGAGGAACGAGUGGAUCAGAGAG
rnacentral:lncRNA from 10 species